UUCUUAUACCACUGGCGCAAGAUUAGGCUAGUACUACUAGCAAGUAGUCCAAUGAAAUAAAUGGGCACCAAAACUGUUGGACACACGUAAACACAUAAGCAAAAUCAGAGCUGUACGCAUUUUUCAGUCAUCAUAUAUCACAAUCAUACACAGGUACAUAUACACACACGUAUACACGACAGGUUACAUAUAGUAACCGCUUAUUCAUCCAGAACGCAUAUACAUGUACGUCGAGCGGGCCCACCUCUCAGUCUCUCGAUCUCACUCUCACACGCACGCGUAGAUACAUAUACGUGUACAACAUACAUAUACAUACAUGUGGCCGUACGUGCACGCACACGUACGUCGUCGACGGGACGUAUACGAUUGAUGGGCCGGGAGAAAUGAAAUCAGCCGAAGAAGUGGUGCUUCUUCUCGCCGGCGGCCUCCUCGGCCUCCUUGUGGUCCUUCUUCUUCUCGUGGUGCUCGUGGAAGGCGAAGCCGCCGGAUCCCACGGCCGCCGCCGCCGCGAUCUCCUCCUCGAUCUUGUGCCGGUGCGCGUGCUCCGGGUCCUUCUUCGCCUCGUGCUUCUCGUACUGUAACAUGCAUGCAUAUGUUGUACGAGAUCAUCAUCAGCUCGUUCGUUCAAUCCAUAUAUAUAUAUAUAUAUAUAUAUAUAUAUAUAUAGGUAAUAAAAUAUGAUAAUAAUUAACAAUAAUCGUCGGACGACGACAACGACGACGACGUACGAGUGCGAAGGCGCCGGCGGCGAUGGCGCCGGCCUCGCCGAGGUGCUGCUUGUGCUUGUGCUCCUUCUCCUCCUUCUUGUACGUGUCGUACUCGUCCUCGCCGCCGGUGGACACCACCUCCGUCACCGUGGUCUCCGUGUACUCGGCGGCCUCGCCGUACCCGUACCCGCCGCCGGCGACGGGCUGCUCCAGCUGCUCCUCGUCCUUCUUGUGGUGGAACAG
rnacentral:lncRNA from 1 species